rnacentral:lncRNA from 1 species
GGGUUUCUGACAAUGACAUCUCCGAAGAUGCCUAUAUUGGGUUGACGUUGAGUUCUUGAGUGCUAGGGAUGGACAACCCUCACAACUUAGUGGUCGAGUAUCUGGCUCCUCUUUUGAACAUAGUAUAUCCGAUGUUCCCUCCAGCCCAACUAUCUGUGCUUUGAUACUAUCCACCGAUUGUUUUUCAGAUGCAUGUCCGUCCUCCUCCAUUGGAAAGAGGUCUAGGUCAAGCUCCAUG